GGUGAGAUGUUCGAGUGGCUUAUGAAGACUGCUUGGAAAGCAGUUGCAUGACAUAAAAGUUGUGCCGAGGGUUCGAAUCCCUCUCUCACCGCCA
rnacentral:tRNA from 1 species